rnacentral:rRNA from 1 species
ACAGGUGCUGCAUGGCCGUCGUCAGCUCGUGUCGUGAGAUGUUGGGUUAAGUCCCGUAACGAGCGCAACCCCUAUCCCUAGUUGCUAGCAGUUCGGCUGAGAACUCUAGGGAGACUGCCGGUGACAAACCGGAGGAAGGUGGGGAUGACGUCAGGUCAUCAUGGCCCUUACGGCCAGGGCUACACACGUGCUACAAUGGUGCGUACAGAGGGCUGCAAACCCGCGAGGGGGAGCUAAUCUCACAAAACGCAUCGUAGUCCGGAUCGGAGUCUGCAACUCGACUCCGUGAAGUCGGAAUCGCUAGUAAUCGCGAAUCAGAAUGUCGCGGUGAAUACGUUCCCGGGCCUUGUACACACCGCCCGUCACACCAUGGGAGUGGAUUGCA